AGAAUCAACGCUGGCGGCGUGCCUAACACAUGCAAGUCGAACGAGAAAGUGGAGCAAUCCAUGAGUAAAGUGGCGACCGGGUGAGUAACACGUGACUAACCUACCCUGGAGUGGGGGAUAACUGAGGGAAACCUUAGCUAAUACCGCAUAACACCUACGGGUCAAAGGAGCAAUUCGCUUUGGGAGGGGUCGCGGCCGAUUAGUUAGUUGGCGGGGUAAUGGCCCACCAAGACGAUGAUCGGUAUCCGGCCUGAGAGGGCGCACGGACACACUGGAACUGAAACACGGUCCAGACUCCUACGGGAGGCAGCAGUGGGGAAUUUGCGCAAUGGGGGAAACCCUGACGCAGCAACGCCGCGUGGAGGAUGAAGUACUUCGGUACGUAAACUCCUUUCGAUCGGGACGAUAAUGACGGUACCGAGAGAAGAAGCCCCGGCUAACUUCGCGCCAGCAGCCGC
rnacentral:rRNA from 1 species